rnacentral:misc_RNA from 1 species
AGCAGCCGCGGUAAUUCCAGCUCCAAUAGCGUAUAUUAAAGUUGCUGCAGUUAAAAAGCUCGUAGUUGAAUUUCGGGGUCAAUAUGUUGGUCGUGCCUCGGUACGUACUAGCUUAUUGGUUUCUUCCUUCUGACGAACCAUAAUGUCAUUUAUUUGGUGUUAUGGGGAAUCAGGACUGUUACUUUGAAAAAAUUAGAGUGUUUAAAGCAGGCUCACGCUUGAAUACAUUAGCAUGGAAUAAUGAAAUAGGACGUUUGAUUCUAUUUUGUUGGUUUCUAGGAUCGACGUAAUGAUUAAUAGGGAUAGUUGGGGGCAUUAGUAUUCAAUUGUCAGAGGUGAAAUUCUUGGAUUUAUUGAAGACUAACUACUGCGAAAGCAUUUGCCAAGGAUGUUUUCAUUAAUCAAGAACGAAAGUUAGGGGAUCGAAGACGAUCAGAUACCGUCGUAGUCUUAACCAUAAACUAUGCCGACUAGGGAUCGGAUGAUGUUAAUUUUUUAAUGACUCAUUCGGCGCCUUAAC